ensembl:lncRNA
CUCCAAUUGAACAUUCAUAGGGCAAAUUGUUACAACUCAAAUCCCCCUCCAUCUGUUAGCUUGGCGCCUCUGUCCUGACAGGGCUGAUUGAUUGUAGGACUGUGCUCUGAUCAGGUGAGUGGUGAUUGAGCUGACAAAGCAGUGGUUUACCCCUGCUGAUAGGGAGGUGUAUUCAUCAGAAUCAUAAUGAGCUCUAGUGAUGAAAAAGGAUGGCACCUCUUCUGGUUUGUCCUGGCUGUAUCGUCAUGGUCAGACUUCCAGAUACUGUCAGAAGAGUCUAGCUGUUGUCAGCUCUGGAUGUAGGAAGUGGUGUGACCACAUUGGAGGUGUUUGAUUGAAGAGGACUCUCUGA